rnacentral:rRNA from 1 species
UAAUGUAUGGGGAUCUGCCCGAUAGAAGGGGAUAACUACUGGAAACGGUGGCUAAUACCGCAUAAUGUCUACGGACCAAAGCAGGGGCUCUUCGGACCUUGCACUAUCGGAUGAACCCAUAUGGGAUUAGCUAGUAGGUGGGGUAAAGGCUCACCUAGGCGACGAUCUCUAGCUGGUCUGAGAGGAUGAUCAGCCACGCUGGGACUGAGACACGGCCCAG